rnacentral:ncRNA from 1 species
AAGCAAGACGGCGGCAAUGAUCCAAUGCUUUUGUGGUGGUCGCUCAUCCCCUUUGUGGGUGCGAGCAUUGGGUAGCCAAUAGCGAAACCAGCCUCUUUUCAA